UCCUCCAUAGUUUAUGAAAACGUUAAAAUUUGAGUUUAAAGACAACAAUUAAGUUUGUUUGGAGGAA
rnacentral:tRNA from 1 species